AUGGGAAGACGUCUUUAUAAGAUAUUGAUCAGUUAUUUAUUAGCCUGGAGGUUACUAUGGGGGCCCUGAUGAAUAAAGCGUUCAUCCACACCUUUCCUUUUAUAUCAAUACAAGUGGAUACCUAGUGAUUUAUUCACACUGAGUGUGUUGUCAAUAUGCUAUUUAGUGAAUAAACCUCUUACAAUAAGACGUGUUCUUUUAGUUACCCAGUGCCAUAGACUCAUCAGAAUCUUAACAAGACUAGUAAUAGAUGUUUCACCCUGUGAUACAAACUGCAACUGUAUGUAAUAUUAUCUUUACCCGACCAAUCAAUGGAAUUCUAUUAAAUGGAAAAAUAAACCCAAUCUCAUGUUGAUUUAUGUCCAUUGUAGAAUAUGAUGGUUAUUACAAGGGGUCAAUGCUUUACCCAGCUACCCUUAGCAAUACGUUGGUAGUAGGUACAUGGCCAUUUACCUGGUUCCCCUGACUUAGAUUUAUUCCGUGAGAGUGGAGUAAGUGUUGCAGUGAGUUUCUCUUGGACACAUGGAUUUAUCAUCUAAAGGUUCGCCAGAAAACAGAAUCUUAACUUACCUUGUGAGAAGUCGGUGUAUGUCCUAAACCUUGGCAUGGUUGUUGGCUAUCGAAAAUCUGGUUAACCGCUUCUUUGCCUUUAACAGAUGACAAAGGUAAACUUUUCCAAGUCUGGAAGAAUUAUUAGAAGUUUUGGUAAACUCCCAAAGGAUUUCCAAUGUCCCUUUAAUUAUUCCUAAAAUCAACUCCAGUCUAUUAACCGUGUGUAUAAGUCCUGUGUCAGAAGAUAAGUCAUUGCCUUGCACAUCUGUUGUUUAGAACUUUGGAUAUAUGUUUUGCCAACAGCCAAUAUUUCAUAUCAUGGUAUUUAAUUCGAAAACCAAAAGUACUUGGCAUUCUGCAGAGAAUACAGCUUUAUUGGGUCUGUUUAAAUCAUCUUUCACAUACUGUGUAACACUUAACCAACUUUUUUAAAGGUCUCUUUCCUGGCUAAAAAAAAACUACAUAUAUUAAUGUUUUCUUUCCCAAAUUAUAAUACUUUUAACGCCUUCAAAUUGUUUAAUUUUCCAUGUUUCAAUGAUGUUAAAAAAAUUUAAAAUGUACUGGUUUUCGUGUAUGUUUUACAUUUCCCAAUAACUUCUUUAAAUGAAAAAUAUUGUAUCAAUCAGUCUAA